rnacentral:rRNA from 1 species
CAGCAGCCGCGGGAAUACGUAGGGGGCCAGCGUUAUCCGGAAUAACUGGGCGUAAAGGGUGCGCAGGUGGUUUAACAAGUUAGUGGUGAAAGGCAUAGGCUCAACCAAUGUAAGCCAUUAAAACUGUUUAACUUGAGUGCAGGAGAGGAAAGUGGAAUUCCUAGUGUAGCGGUGAAAUGCGUAGAUAUUAGGAGGAAUACCAGUGGCGAAGGCGACUUUCUGGACUGCAACUGACACUGAGGCACGAAAGCGUGGGGAGCAAACAGGAUUAGAUACCCCUGUAGUCCCUGUCUCUUAUACA